UACGUAGGUGGCAAGCGUUGUCCGGAAUUACUGGGCGUAAAGCGCACGUAGGCGGACCAGAAAGUUGGAGGUGAAAUCCCAGGGCUCAACCUUGGAACUGCCUUCAAAACUAUUGGUCUGGAGUUCGAGAGAGGUGAGUGGAAUUCCGAGUGUAGAGGUGAAAUUCGUAGAUAUUCGGAGGAACACCAGUGGCGAAGGCGGCUCACUGGCUCGAUACUGACGCUGAGGUGCGAAAGCGUGGGGAGCAAACAGG
rnacentral:rRNA from 1 species